rnacentral:rRNA from 1 species
GAUGAACGCUAGCGGCAGGCUUAACACAUGCAAGUCGAGGGGCAGCAUAGGGUAGCAAUACUCUGAUGGCGACCGGCAGACGGGUGCGUAACGCGUAUGGAACCAACCUUAAACAGGGAGAUAGUCCGGCGAAAGUCGGGGUAAUAUCCCAUAGUUCUUUUUUCUCGCAUGAGGAGAAAGAUAAACCCGCAAGGGGGUUUAAGACGGUCAUGCGUGACAUUAGGUAGUUGGAGAGGUAAUGGCUCACCAAGCCGACGAUGUCUAGGGGUCCUGAGAGGGAGAUCCCCCACAUUGGAACUGAGACACGGUCCAAACUCCUACGGGAGGCAGCAGUGAGGAAUAUUGGUCAAUGGGCGAAAGCCUGAACCAGCCAUGCCGCGUGCAGGAAGAAGGCCCUAUGGGUUGUAAACUGCUUUUGUUCGGGACGAGCAUGCAUAUGUAUAUGCAAAUGACGGUACCGGAAGAAUAAGCACCGGCUAACUCCGUG